UACGUAGGGGGCAAGCGUUGUCCGGAAUCAUUGGGCGUAAAGAGCGCGUAGGCGGUCCAGUAAGUCAGCUGUGAAAGUCGGGGGCUCAACCCUCGGAGGCCGGCUGAUACUGCUGGGCUAGAGUCCGGAAGAGGUGAGUGGAAUUCCUGGUGUAGCGGUGAAAUGCGCAGAUAUCAGGAGAAGCACCGAUGGCGAAGGCAGGUCUCUGGGCAUUAACUGACGCUGAGGAGCGAAAGCGUGGGGAGCGAACAGG
rnacentral:rRNA from 1 species